rnacentral:rRNA from 1 species
UACGGGGGGAGCAAGCGUUGUUCGGAUUUACUGGGCGUAAAGCGCGUGUAGGCGGUCCGGUAAGUCCGCUGUGAAAGUCGAGGGCUCAACCCUCGAAUGCCGGUGGAUACUGUCGGGCUUGAGUACGGGAGAGGCGAGUGGAAUUCCUGGUGUAGCGGUGAAAUGCGCAGAUAUCAGGAGGAACACCGAUUGCGAAGGCAGCUCGCUGGAACGUUACUGACGCUGAGACGCGAAAGCGUGGGGAGCAAACAGG